rnacentral:rRNA from 1 species
UACGUAGGGUGCGAGCGUUGUCCGGAAUUAUUGGGCGUAAAGAGCUCGUAGGCGGUGUGUCACGUCGGCCGUGAAAACCUGCAGCUUAACUGUGGGCGUGCGGUCGAUACGGGCAUCACUGGAGUUCGGCAGGGGAGACUGGAAUUCCUGGUGUAGCGGUGAAAUGCGCAGAUAUCAGGAGGAACACCGGUGGCGAAGGCGGGUCUCUGGGCAGUAACUGACGCUGAGGCACGAAAGCGUGGGGAGCAAAAGGG